UACGUAUGUGACCAGCGUUGUCCGGAUUUACUGGGCGUAAAGAGCGCGCAGGCGGUCGUUCAAGUCGAGUGUGAAAGCCCCCGGCUCAACUGGGGAGGGUCACUCGAUACUGAUCGACUUGAAGGCAGGAGAGGGAAGCGGAAUUCCCGGUGUAGUGGUGAAAUGCGUAGAUAUCGGGAGGAACACCAGUGGCGAAGGCGGCUUCCUGGCCUGUUCUUGACGCUGAGGCGCGAAAGCUAGGGGAGCAAACGGG
rnacentral:rRNA from 1 species